rnacentral:rRNA from 2 species
AGCGGAGGAAAAGAAACCAACAGGGAUUGCCUCAGUAACGGCGAGUGAGCGGCAAAAGCUCAAAUUUGAAAUCCCCCGGGAAUUGUAAUUUGAAGAGAUUUGGGUCCGGCCGGCGGGGGUUAAGUCCACUGGAAAGUGGCGCCACAGAGGGUGACAGCCCCGUGAACCCCCUUAACGCCCUCAUCCCAGAUCUCCAAGAGUCGAGUUGUUUGGGAAUGCAGCUCUAAGUGGGUGGUAAAUUCCAUCUAAAGCUAAAUACCGGCGAGAGACCGAUAGCGAACAAGUACAGUGAUGGAAAGAUGAAAAGCACUUUGAAAAGAGAGUGAAAAAGUACGUGAAAUUGUUGAAAGGGAAGGGCUUGCAAGCAGACACUUAACUGGGCCAGCAUCGGGGCGGCGGGAAACAAAACCACCGGGGAAUGUACCUUUCGAGGAUUAUAACCCCGGUCUCUAUUUCCACGCCGCCCCGAGGCCUGCAAUCUAAGGAUGCUGGCGUAAUGGUUGCAAGUCGCCCGUCUUGA